GUGGGGAAUCUUCCACAAUGGACGAAAGUCUGAUGGAGCAACGCCGCGUGAGUGAAGAAGGGUUUCGGCUCGUAAAGCUCUGUUGUCGGGGACGAAUGUGCAGUAUUUGAAUAAAGUACUGCAAUGACGGUACCUGACGAGGAAGCCACGGCUAACUACGUGCCAGCAGCCGCGGUAAUAAGUAGGUGGCAAGCGUUGUCCGGAAUUAUUGGGCGUAAAGGGAGCGCAGGCGGGAAGGUAAGUCGGUCUUAAAAGUGCGGGGCUCAACCCCGUGAUGGGAUCGAAACUAUCUUUCUUGAGUGCAGGAGAGGAAAGUGGAAUUCCUAGUGUAGCGGUGAAAUGCGUAGAUAUUAGGAGGAACACCAGUGGCGAAGGCGACUUUCUGGACUGUAACUGACGCUGAGGCUCGAAAGCCAGGGGAGCGAACGGGAUUAGAAACCCCGGUAGUCC
rnacentral:rRNA from 1 species